GGAUUGUGGCUUAGCGGUAGAGCGCUUGCCUCGCAUGCAUGGGACCCGGGUUCAAUCCUCAGUACCA
rnacentral:tRNA from 1 species